rnacentral:rRNA from 1 species
GUAGGUGGCAAGCGUUGUCCGGAAUUAUUGGGCGUAAAGCGCGCGCAGGCGGUUCUUUAAGUCUGAUGUGAGAGCCCACGGCUCAACCGUGGAGGGUCAUUGGAAACUGGAGAACUUGAGUACAGAAGAGGAAAGCGGAAUUCCACGUGUAGCGGUGAAAUGCGUAGAGAUGUGGAGGAACACCAGUGGCGAAGGCGGCUUUCUGGUCUGUAACUGACGCUGAGGCGCGAAAGCGUGGGGAGCAAACAGGAUUAGAUACCCUGGUAGUCCACGCCGUAAACGAUGAGUGCUAAGUGUUAGGGGGUUUCCGCCCCCCUUAGUGCUGCAGCUAACGCAUUAAGCACUCCGCCCUGGGAGUACGGCCGCAAGGCUG